GACAGAGGGUGCAAACGUUGUUCGGAAUUACUGGGCGUAAAGCGCGUGUAGGCGGCUAAGUAAGUCGGGCGUGAAAUCCCACGGCUCAACCGUGGAAGUGCACUCGAAACUGCAUAGCUAGAGUCCUGGAGAGGAAGGUGGAAUGCUUGGUGUAGAGGUGAAAUUCGUAGAUAAUCAAGCGGAACACCGGUGGCGAAGGCG
rnacentral:rRNA from 1 species